CUGACCUCGGAUCAGAGAAGCCAG
rnacentral:rRNA from 1 species